GCAGUGGGUGUUGAGUGGUAGAAUUCUCACCUUCCAUGCGGGAGACCUGGGUUCAAUUCUUGGCCAGUGCA
rnacentral:tRNA from 1 species